AUUCCAUGAUGAUGACAUCUUCUCAACAACUCCUUAAACCGUUCCCAUGCAUCAUAUAAUGACUCUCCCUCUGUCUGAUGGAAAUUAUUUAUCUCAGCCCUCAACCU